AACACAAAGCCUCCACAGCCCUUGAACCGAUCUGUGAUGGAGUUUUCACAGAUGCUGAACUCAGGGGCUGCACUUCCGUUGGGUACAGACAACCUAUGCUGGCCUGCAGGAAAAUGUCUAAUUCAGAGAGAAAGAUGGCAAAUAAAAAAAUUUCAUGAGAAGUAGAUGUAACAGACAGCUUCAAAAUACAGAAAGGUAAACGGAUCCAUCUGUCAUGUCUUCAAAGUCUUCUGACACCCAUGAACUAAAACCACAUCAGCAUAUCUAUGGUCUGGGUCCCUGGAUCAAGAAGAAUGCUAUCUCUUCUGCAGACUUAAGCUCUAGCUAUGGUGUAUGUACAGCCUUUGUAAGAACUACUGUGACUUGGUGCCUAUCCGUUACUGCAAUGUUUAAAGAUCUGUGUCACAUAGUUUCAAAUGUGGAACAAUCCUCUUGGAAUCUGAAGGUUUAUAUAGAUGAAAAAAAUAAAAUAAAAUGGAGGAAUGGAAAUAAGUAUGUUUCUUACUUCUUUCAGAAAGUUGAGGAGAAGAGGGUCUUGAUGGAAAAGCUAAAAAGACAGUGAUUCCAAGUCAAAUGACUGUAAGAUGAAUGCUAACUCCUUGCACUAGAUAGUGAUACUCCUGAUUUAUGCCACUGCAGUCAAGAAAAGAACAACAGACCUUAUAGUUUGUUCAGAAAAUCAAGGAUGGAAUUUUUCCUGACUCAGGCAUUCAACAAAUUUCAAAAGGAAAAGCAGGAAUUCAGGUUUUCAAUAAUGCCUGCUUGGACAUUUUCCUGUUAGCUUUCACGUGUACAGUGAUAACAUUGCUGUGAUCUGAGCUCGUUCUGUUUCUCUACAGUUCCAUUAUCACUCAGGCUCUUCCACUCUGUUCACACACAUCACACAAGCACCAAAAAUCCCUACUCACUGCCAUAUUCGUCUGUUUCUUGGGUAUGCUGUUGUUUCAGAGGAGCUAAACAGGUAGAAAAAUAGAGGAAUGCAGAUGUCCAGCACAGACUUGCACACAAUCUUUCAUUCAGAGAGUUGUGAGACUGUACUACUUGAUUCACCAUGUGUUUUUAAGAAAAUUAUACACAUAGAAUAUAUGUCUCAUAAAUAAGAAACAAAACAAAAGGAAAACAAAAGGAAAGAAAAUAUUAAUGGAGGGACAUUUACUGUUAUACAUACUCUUAUGCAAAAGGUCACGUUUCCUGCUGAUGUAAGCCAGAACAGUUCCAUUGCAUCUGGUUGAAGCUGUACCAAUUUAACCCAUGUAUAUUUUCCAGCCCAGUAUGUCAUGCAAGUCAAACCAUAGAACUGGAACCUUCCAAGCCUUCCCUAUUAUGUUGUUAAAUUCAUACUGCUAUUAGAAAAAAAAAAAAAAUCCUUUUAAAAAAGCUUGCAUACGCAACUUACUCACAUUGCUUUAUUUUUUUGUUGGUUCACAAAAAAAAAAAAAAAAAAAAAAAGAAAAAAGAAUGUAUUUCAAGUUGUCAUAACCUUGCAUUUAGCCAGUGAAAGAGUAAUCUUGAAAGGAGAACACUUUUUUUUUUACAAACUGGACACAUACCCUGUUUAUUUUUCUCUAAAAGUUGCACACCAUAAAGCAAGUAGGUUAUAUUUUUUGUUUGUUUCUUUUAAAACCUUCUUCAGAUAUUAUUAUACAAAAAUAUUCAUAUUCAAGUAAUAAAGAUAUUUUUUAAACAUCCAACUUUCGUAAACCUAAAGCAAAGUCACACAAAAAGGUUUUUUUUUGUUGUUUGUUUCUUUUUUUUUUUAAUCUAGACAAAGUACACCUUGUGCUUUAACAAACCUACAGUAUCAUGUGCUCAUAUACUCUUUACAAGGAUUCUAGUAAGUAUGCUCAUGAGUCAUUAUUCAUUAAAUAAUACAAAAAAUUGUAUCCGGUACAGAACUUGCCUACUUUUGUGGAUUUUAUUUCCCUCAAUUCCGUAAUUCUGUUUUUUUUUUUUUUUUCUUACAUAUGUUAAUUGUGUUUGUAUAUAUGUGUGGAAAAGUUAAGGCAAGUGCAAAGUUACAAAAAUCACUAUUUCUAUUGCUAACAUGUGCAGCAUUCAUAUUUAGUGAGUGAUAUCAUUUCUCCUGUAAGAAUAAAAAUUGAAGAAAAUACAAAAAGUUUUAAUGUGCUAUAUUUGUUACAAUGAGCUGUUUUGUUUUAUAUAUCAGUCUUGUUGAAUUUUCUGAAGGUUUACUAUAAGAUCAAACGUUUUUCUUUUUAAAUUAAUAUACACUGAAACUAGAUAACAUUUUGAUCACACCUUUCUUGCUUCUGAGUAAUGUGUACAUUAUUACUACAAAAAUGCAGUAGUUCUUAGCUAUGAUCCAUCUAAUUUUUUAAAAAAUAAAUAUAAGUUAAUCUCUUUAAGUAAAAUAUCUUAAUAUACAAUAUCCAUAAAUAUAGGUCAAUGUGUCUCUACUUUUGUGUUUCUGUUUUAACUUCAGUGAUUCUGCACAAAGUCUAUAAAGUUUCCAGCUUUCCACCAUACCUGCAGACUUAAAGAAAACCUUGGUAUGUAUGCAUAUGUUAAUCUGUGGUUUAUACAGCAACAGUAAUGGACAUUUGGAAAAGGCAGUGAUUCUGAACUUGAAAAUUAAUUUAUGGAAUAACCAGAAAUAUAUGUUUGCCAGCUCUGGGCCUAGUUCUUCUCUUCUUCAUACCAAUCUGACAAUGUAUUAAUACUCCUGACUUGUGUAGAAUAAUUUCUGACUUCUGUCAACCAGAGAGCAAAUUAAGAAUGAUCUCAGAGCUCAAGAUGGUACUUUCUUAUUUCCAUCAAUGCAAAACUUUGUAAAGUUGGUGAGUAUAACUUUAUACCUGUAAUGUACAUACAUAUAUUUAGCAGGAGAUACAGAGCACUUCAUCUACUGUUCCCAGGAUGAUGGAAGGCCAACUGAGAGCUUUUGGAAUAAAGUGCUUUCCAGCUAUUUGCUUUGAAUAGUGCACUCUCAAGAAGAGACUGUUAUGUGAGUUCUGUGUUGCACUGUGCUUAUGUAGAACCAGCUCCUCCUGAGCUAAAUAAAUUAAGAAAGCUAAAUCCACUGAACAAAUUGCUUCUAUUAAAAAGAUGCUGCACUUACAGUAGAAUCAAGUAUUUCUCUACAGAUUUAUGUUUAUUUGUAUUGUAUUUGCAGCUGUUUUGUAAAAGUGAAACUGGUAAAAUAUUUCUUUUACUGUUGCAAGUAGGCACUUUUUCUUUCUUGUAAAGUUUUUGGUCGUUUUGCUUUCUUAUCUUCUGAAGAAAGUUGCAAGGGCUGCUCUGAAGGUAAUGUCUCCUAUUUUAUGACUUUGGCUCACGACAUUAGUGGUGGAUGUUCGUGGUAUGGCAGUAGAGGUUGAACCUUCCCACCAACAUCCUGUCAUAUGUUGUUGCUGUGAGAGAGAUGGCAGCAGAGGGGCAGUCGGACACAAUGGCGUCCAACACUGAAGAGAGGAUGAAGCAAAGAUGUGGCAUUGAAUUCCUCUAUGUGGAAAAAGCUGACACUCAUUGAUGCUUGCUGAAUGUUUUUGGAGAUGAAACAGUGUAUGUCAGCAUGGUGAGAUGGAGGGGUGAUGCGCUUAGGCAUGCCAUGAAAGACAAACCACAUUCUGGGCAGCUAUGUACAGCUGUCAUACCACGUUAUGAAAGUCUCCAUCAGCUCCUCUGCACUAAUUGGUGGAUUAUGACCAGGAAUCUGUGUAUGGAGCUGAAUAUUGGCUGCAGUGCAUUAGAAAUGAUGGUGGCAAUGUUGGAAUAUCACAAAGUUUGCACCUCAUGGGUCCCACAGAUGUUCGCACAGGGACAGAAAGAACACCAUAUGCAAGCUUGUCAGGAUCUACUGAAUCACUGUGAGGCUAAAGGUGACAGUUUUCCUGGAUCACAUCAUUACUGGUGACAAGACGUGGUGUCACCACUACAAGACAGAGUCAAAAUGGCAGACCACAGACUAGUGAUAUGUGAAUUCCCCAUCAAAGAACAAUUUCAAGACAUAGCCCUUACCGAGUAAAGGAAUAUGCACUGUCCUUUGACAUAGGAAAGGGGCAAUUUCUGAAGGAUUUCCUGAAACCCAGACAAAACAUCAACUCUGACUGCUACAUCACAACGUUGACUAAGUGUUGAACUUUCAGAGUCAGCACAAAGAAAAAGGCACCCUUUCUGUUGCAACAUGAUAACACCAGAACCCCAAAACACCAGUUUGAAGGCCAUGGAGUACAUUGCCAAUCUUGGCUGGACUGUCCUACCAUGGCCAUGGUACAGUAUGGAUUUGGCACCUUUCGACUUUCAUCUGUUUGGGCCGGCGAAGGACUGACUGCAUGGGCAACACACAUCCUAGCAAGGGUGUUAUCAUAGCAGCCAUGAAACAGUGGGUCACCUCUGCUGGUGCAAAAAAUGCAUAACUACUGGUGGUGACUGUUGAAAAACAUUGUUUGGUAGCUGAGAAUUUUCUCUAUCUUAUAGUGUUAUUGUUCUCUUUGAAUUGGUUGUAGUUUCCAUGGAAAUAAAUAGGAGGCGUUACUUUCAGUCAUCUACAUAUGUACUAUAUAUUAAUGAAAUAUUUACCUAUGAGAUGGUACACUUGCUUAAAUUUACUGUAUUAUGAAUAGUCACUUGACAGUAGUAGCUGCACAGACUUAAUACUGUGCUUUAUUUGCAAAAUUCAUAUGUGACUCAAAAUUGAUUUAAGCUACAUCACUGGAUCUAAGAAGUAAUGUUGGGAGGAGUGUCUAUCUAUCUAUCUAUCCAUCUAUCUAUCUAUCUAUCUAUCUAUCUAUCUAUCUAUCUAUUUAUAUGAUCUAAUAUUAAUAUUUUGUCUCUUAGUAUCUUCAAGUCACUAUGUUGUUUGUCACACCACUGCCCAACAUUGUACAGUUGCCUACUUUAAUAUUAUUUGCUUCUGGAAAGGGAUAAGAGAAAAGCAUUAAUGAAUCUGCAAAUCUUUACAAUGAAAUCAAGUUGUUAUAUUUAAUUAUUUCUGUGCUUGCUCACUCUUAGUAAAAAGGCUAGAUCAGAUGUUUACUGGACAUUCAGAAUAAGUUAUAAAUGGUGAUUAUCUUGGGCACGAGGACAGGAGGCAGAGAAGGAAAAAGGUGCAAAUUAGUGAGUUCUAGUCAGCUAUUCGAAACAACCAGUGAUGAUACUGUAGGUGAUCAUUUAUUCACCUUGAGAUACAACUGAUUUUAUCUUAGUCUUUGAGUCUGUGGAGAAUCUUAGCAAGCCAAAAGACAGCAAUCAGAACAAACUGAGAAAGAAAGAAAGUUCAGGUUUCUCACAGAAUCUUAAUCGAUCUGCGAGUGUGGCAUCAAACUCACUGUGUCUAAGCCCAUGCAUUUUGGAGAGGAGGACCUGAAAGCACCAUUUUCCCAUUUGAAACCUCUUUGUUUAAGUGUCUCUGAGGUGGAGAACUGACUAAAGUGGGAGCAGAGGAAAUCCAGCAGCUCUUUGAACCGGUGACCUAUAAAAGGUAGGAGACUUUCAGUUCUCUGGAUCUCACCGCCUUUAUUUUCAAGGUGUUUAUGCCCUCACUUGUCUAAUGUAGUGCAAUGAUACCUCAGUCCUGCUGUCUAUCUCCUUAUGAAAAACAAAUCAAAUGAAACAAAAAAUAGUAUGGAGAGCAACAUGGAAUGAAAACGUCUUUGCAAAUAAUAUGUAUAGGUUGUUCAAUCAAUCUGUCCCCAGUCCCUUAUUCUCUAGACUGCUCUUUUCCAAGAUCCUAAAAGAAGCAUAUCAUGCCUAAGAUGAAGGAACAAAAAUAUUUUCUCCAACAUUACAUAAAGAUCAAGUUGUCAAGUGUUAUUUCAAAUGUCUUUGCUGAUGCUUAUCUAUCUUAAAAAAUAUCAAACAGUAAAAAAAAUAAAAUAAUAGUAGAAAUACUCUUUCAUAUAUGGCAUUGACAGCUGUUCAUAAUUCUUUGUUUAUGAGAUGAGAAUAGUGAAAGUGUAAGUGGAGAAAAUAGGAGAUGAACCCAACAGACACUAAUUAUUAUGCAUCAUGACAGGAACUCUGGCAGAUACUCCUGUGAUUCAGGUAGAUCUUGUCAUGUAGAAAGAAUAUUUCCUACCUCUAGCAAGAUUAUACAAAUGACUUCAGAUAGCACCCAAGAAGGGAAGGAAGUACCUGAGAAAUUUGAGUAUUUAGUGUCAUACAGGCAAAGGAUGUUUGUAAUCACCCAUGACAGCAGAACUGGUUGAGCGUUCAUCACGUAUCACCACGCCACGGUCAGGAAAGCUCUGCACUGUGCUUCUCGCACCUUCUGUUACCUCCAGCUACCCAAUUGUGUCACAGUGCCACCUAGCAAUGAUCUGGUUAAAAGCUCAUCUUCAUUUUGCAACAUAUGGAGGAUAUGGUCCUCCGAACACAGAUGUUUGGGACUUCCUUCAAUUUUUAUGAAAAGACUACUUAUCUUAUUUUGUUGCAUUGUUCUAUGAUUAAACAAUUACACAUUUAAAUACUUAUGCGCAGGCAUAGAAAAGUAUGAAAUGUGUUUUGGGAUGUAAUAAAUAUUUGAGAGUGCCUAGUGCAACAAUUAUUCCCCAGAUGUCUGCACGAUUUGCAGUGACUCAUGUGUUUUGCUGAGGUAGACAUAGGUUGGUAAUCUCAAGAAAGAACCUGAUGUCACUGAACAAUUUUGUUGAGAUAGAUGAAGAGACAGUUGUGUAGCUGUUUCCCUCUCUGCUUUGUAUUUACAUAAUUGUUCCAUUUUAAGUUGCCUGGGUUUUAAGAAGACAAAUGUCCAACACUCAAAUGUGAUGCUGAAGUUACACACAUAAUACUAAUUGUUUAAAUUGUCUACUGAAAUGUCCCUAAGAACUUAAUUAGAGUUGCAGCGUUCACCCAGGAAUAUUAACUCCAGCAAACAAUUUCUUCUAAGUCUGUAUAUUCAUUGUUAUUUGCAUCUUAAACUUGCAAUGAAGGAUGGUACUUUCUAAAAAAAAAUAAGUAUAAUCUCCCUGUGAUUUACCUGUCAUGCAAGCAAUGAAAAGAAAAUUUAAAACUCUUUCUUGCAUAAUUUCCUACAAAACUGCAAGAGAAAACAGUCUGCUCUGGAAAAAGAAGCCCUGAAGAGUUGGUUGAAAUAGGGCUUAGGAAUUUAAUUGCUAUUUCGCUUUAUUUGUUUAUUUUUAUUUAUUUCUUUGAGUGUCUGUCAUACCCUGGAGCUAUAUGGCAGAAGCAUGAGGAUAUUUUGAGCCCAAACUGACCUUUUAAAACCUCAUUUUCUCUUCACAGCAAGUAUCAGGAUAUUACUUCAUAUGAGCAUUCUGUGGAGAUGUAAAGAAUGGCAUGUGAACUGAGAGCAUAUACACACAAAUAUAAAUACUGCUUUGCUCCUGCUUUGCUUUGCUCUCUUCAUGGGAGAGAAGAAAUAUACUUCCUGCAAAGACUUUUCAAGUGUACCCCAAUCUGAGGGCUCAUGGCAAGCUCUGUACUUUUUACACACCCUGAAAGGCAAGUGCAGAGAACACAAUGGAAUGAGAUGGAAUGGGAUGGGAAGGGUGAGGAUCGGGUGGCGUGGGGUGGAGUGGGAUGGGAUAGGAUGGGAGCUGCUGUGAGGGAGUCCAGAUCUGAGGUUAUCUGCUCCACACAGCAACUUCUUCUAAUUGCCUUGUACUAAACUGCGCCCUAACCUGAUAAGAUAAUCUCUUUCUAGGUUCAUCUUUGUUUUCACUCCUAUAGCAGGAGAAACGUGGUGAUGUAUUGAGAACGUAGUUUCAUUUUUACCCUCCUGACUAGGCAAAGGACGCUGUGGGUGCUCCAGGUCUGCAGAGAUCCUCAACUGUGGUCAUGUGCUGCAGCCCUUUGCACCAUCUUGCACUGCCUUAUCCACCUCCAAAUGUACUAGGGACUGAGGGCUUGGUAGGCAUUUAUUUUAUCUGAAUGACUGGAGAAGAAGGAAAAGAGCUAACAUUUGAUUUAAAGUAAAAAAAAGAAAGAAAAAAAGAAAAAAGAAAGGGAAGGGAGGGGAAGGGAAGGGAAGGAAAAUAAGGAAAGGAAAGGAAAGGAAAGGAAAGGAAAGGAAAGGAAAGGAAAGGAAAGGAAAGGAAAGGAAAGGAAAGGAAAGGAAAGGAAAGGAAAGGAAAGGAAAGGAAAGGAAAGGAAAGGAAAGGAAAGGAAAGGAAAGGAAAGGAAAGGAAAGGAAAGGAAAGGAAAGGAAAGGAAAGGAAAGGAAAGGAAAGGAAAGGAAAGGAAAGGAAAGGAAAGGAAAGGAAAGGGUAAUGUAGUAAUGUUAAAAAAACAUAUCCUUUUUUUUUUUUUUUUCUGCAGUAAUUUUUGAGUUCAUUCUGUCAUGCCUUCGUUGGUAAGAGAUAUGUCUUAGUAAAAUAAUGUAAAGAAUAUUUCUGUCAAAUUUCUGGCUCUGAAAUUUAACUUCAGGUUGUUUUCCUAAUACCAGUGACCAGCCAAAGAGGUGUUUAUGCUUACUUUAAGCUCAGAAAUAGUUGAAGAUUACCUAUUUCAUAUACCAUUUAGUUCUUAGAGAAUCAUAUUACUCAUACUCUACCAAAAUAUAUAUUUUUAACUAUCGAAUGCUUCUGAAAUUAUUUUAUCUAGGGUAUUGGUUUUUUAAUGUAAGAAUGCUCUUGAACUGAAUAUAGUUGUAGUAAUAAACAGAAUAUUUGUCUUCAACAGUUCUAUAUCUCAGUGUGCUUAAUUUUUAGUAAUACGAUCAGCUGCAGAAUUUGUGCAUGUUUCAAACAAGUUAUCAGGCCUGCUUUCGUAAUUUAUGCCCUGACUACUACAUAGGUCAAUGGACUCUUGACCUCCCACCUACAGUGCUUAUUGCUCCAGAGCAAAGAUCAGAAAUGUCACAAACAGAAUUUAAACAAACAAAAAGCAUAGGAAAGUUCUUGAUACCAGAAACAUUCAAAUUAGUUUUACUACCCAGGGCAACAGCUCCAAGUUCUGGACCAUCAAACAAAGGCCAGCUAGAGGAGCACAAGGCUGCCAACACAUUUUCUUUGAGGCUAUAGCCAGAGCCAAAAGGAAAUAGCCCAGCAAAAUGACAUCACAAGUGGCAGUUUGGUCCUAAGUCCAAUGUACAAACCCUGUAAUGAAUCUCAAAUGACAGAUCACGUCUCAAAUGUCCAUCAUUCAAUCUCCACUCAGUGGGCUAUUUAGGAUGUGAAGAGCUGCAACUGAUGGGAAAAAACCAAAAACAAAACAAAACAAAAAAAAAAAAAACCAAUCAUUAUACAAGCAGAUUUAUUGCUGUGAAAAUGCUUAGGUUUUUCUGACUCUAGCCAAACUGAUCUCUUGCUCAUCUGAAAAAUGGGUUAUAAAAAGUGUUCUAAUAACAGCAAAUCAGAUAGGGGGUGAGUUUGAAGGCAUAUAGUUACAAUGGAUAAUAAACUAAGCCUGCCACAGAGAUUGUUUUUAGCGCUGUCAGAUUUCUGCCAUUCUCUCUAUUAUGCCAAUAGUGGAUGCAACAAAAACUCUGUGCUAGACAACUGGCAAGUGCAAAUC
ensembl:lncRNA